rnacentral:rRNA from 1 species
GACGAACGCUGGCGGCGUGCCUAAUACAUGCAAGUAGAACGCCGAAGGAGGAGCUUGCUUCUCUGGAUGAGUUGCGAACGGGUGAGUAACGCGUAGGUAACCUGCCUGGUAGCGGGGGAUAACUAUUGGAAACGAUAGCUAAUACCGCAUAAUAGUAGAUGUUGCAUGACAUUUGCUUAAAAGGUGCAAUUGCAUCACUACCAGAUGGACCUGCGUUGUAUUAGCUAGUUGGUGGGGUAACGGCUCACCAAGGCGACGAUACAUAGCCGACCUGAGAGGGUGAUCGGCCACACUGGGACUGAGACACGGCCCAGACUCCUACGGGAGGCAGCAGUAGGGAAUCUUCGGCAAUGGACGGAAGUCUGACCGAGCAACGCCGCGUGAGUGAAGAAGGGUUUCGGAUCGUAAAGCUCUGUUGUAAGAGAAGAACGAGUGUGAGAGUGGAAAGUUCACACUGUGACGGUAUCUUACCAGAAAGGGACGGCUAACUACGUG